AAUGCACCGCGCCACGGCGCUCUCUGGGGCUAUGCAUUUUGGCCAGCCUAAUUGUGUCGGGCGGCGGCGAGUCCCCGUGUUUUCGUAUCAGCGGAAACAUAGCGACCGCGGCCGCGGCUGUGCCAGCUGUGCUGCUGGUGCUACUGCGCGACGACGCGAGUCCCGCAACCAUAGCAAACGCCUUACGAUGAAUCGGAUACUCGUGAAGACACAGCAAGGGCUUCACGAGACGCUGUGCGCACACUUCUCGCUGCCGAAAGCCGUCUCGUUCAGGACGCAUUGAAGCGGACACAGCCUGCAGCGAAGAACAACGUGACGGACAUUGCUCUACUCCACUUGGGGCGCCUGCGCAAGCAGGCGUUCGGUGAAUGGCGUCACUACGGACCCGAGCCAACAGGGGGGUUUCGACUCCCCCCCCCCCCCCACGCCUCGCCAUGCUUGGCUUUGCUGUGUCCGAGGAAAAGGGGAUCCUGGGGGUUGAGCCGACGCCGGGUGAUUGGACCUGUAAGGCCCCCCGGCAGAGGCAACACACCCCUUUGGCCCCAGCUUCACGUAGACGGCACCCCUGGGCUGACCCACCCAGAGGAAAUCGGCAGUAGUCUUUUGCUAUCUCUCUCUCUCUCCACAUUUUCGUCUUUCUCUCUCACUUUUCAUCUUUCCUGUCCUCUUAUCUCUUCAAUUUACUUCCGUGUUUCACGGCGGCAAGGGUUAACCUGGUGUGAAUAUCCAACCAUGAGUAGUUAGAUGAGGUUAUAGUAACAGCGUACGGCUGGCAUCAUGCAGGCUUGUUGACAAGUCCAGCCGUGUCCCCUUGUUGGGCUCCAUGGUGGGCGGUUGGCGCUGUUGCCGAACGCUUUCAUCUUUUUAUGGCUUCUCAAGCAUCCACUAUUUUUGAUCAGUCUCUGAAAAGAGGCCACACCGAGGCAACUUUUCAUUUCAACACACAAUCCAAAGUAUCCUUCCAAAAGUACCAUGUCAUCCACAGCGAAGGCACACCAGUACGAAAGCUAUCUCCAUUUUUGGUGGCCAAGUGCCUGAAAGAAAGAAAUUGGACCCAAGUACAAAAUUUCGAAAAUGUCAAGCGGUCACCUGCUCCUAGAGCUAGCCGAAAAAGAACAAGUAUCAAAGCUCUCCGAACUCGCCUGCAUUGGUGACACUACCGUAACAAUUUCUGUCCACAGAUCCCUUAACACCAGCAGGGGAGGAAUAUCUGAAGAAGAUUUCUUAGGCCUAAGUGACAAGGAGCUCCUCGAGGGGUUUCAGGAUCAAGACGUCAUAAAGGUACAGAGAAUUGUCAUCCGCCGCAACGAUCAGGAAGUCCCCACAAAACACGUCGUACUUUCCUUUGGAACGAGCGAAAUGCCCACAUCCCUCGAGGCAGGCUACGUGAAAAUAAACAUCAGGCCCUAUAUUCCUAAUUCUAGACGGUGUUUUAAAUGCCAAAGAUUCGGUCACGUAUCCCACUCAUGCAGGGGAAAAGAAACAUGCGCAAAAUGCAGUGAAAACGACUACACAGCCGUAAACUGCGCAUCAUUGCCACUUUGUGUGAACUGUAAGGGGGAUCACCCAGCAUACUCCCGCUCAUGCCCAUCCUGGAAAAAAGAAAAAGAAGUAAUUGCUCUCACCGUCAAAAAAAGAUCUCGUUUUAUGAAGCGCGGAAACGGUUGUCGUACCUUUUCCGCAAAAGUUACACUGAUGUGACGCAGUCGGGGGCAGCGUCACAGAGGCCUCAGACAUCCUCUGGGUCCACACAGAGUGGUCGAGUUGUGACUCCUUCCGCUCCCGUCAUGGAAGCAGCGUCUGCUGCUCCAUCGACCUCUAAGGGCCCUCAGACUCCGGUCUCCCUGGGCCCUAAAAUCACUCGAAUGCCAAGGCCCGAGAUCCACGUCUCAGCGCCAAACUCUCGAUCUUCCAGCGCCUCUGACAGGGCGAUGGAGAUCGACUGAAAACCUUAGUGUCAUCGACACCGAAGGACAUGCGCUCCCUGGAGCGCGCCAACUGGACAAGGUCCCAAUAACCACGCAAAGCAAGCGAUAGUCAUAAUGAUUAUCGCAUUUGUCUGUAGUUUAAGUUCUUAAUAAUGCUAAUAAUGUGUGUAUAUGUGGUUUGUAUGUGUGUGUCAGGUAGCGCAGUUAUCCCUUUUGUCUUAAUAAUAUCACCUACCAUCUUUUAAUUUACUUGAACAAUCCCCACAGGUAUAUUUGCUUAAUUUUAUUCCAUCAUGGCUUUUAUCAUACAUUGGAACUGUAGAGGAUUAAUGCAUAAUUUAGCUGACUCAAAGGACAUCAUCAAUAAGUUCUCACCAGUGGCUUUCUGCCUCCAAGAGACAAACCUAGGUGCAAAACAUGCUCAAUUUCUCAAGGGCUAUACAGUUGCCCGAAAGGAGCGCGAACGCUGUCAGGAGGAGUAGCUAUUGCUUUCCAGGGUGGCACUCCUACCCGAGAUGUCCAACUCAGUACAUCUUUCGAGGCCAUAGCAGCCACCAUUUUAUCGUACAAAACUAUUACCAUUUGUACACUUUAUAUCCCACCCCACACCCAUUUUACCACUAAAAACCUAGAAAAUCUAGUAGAACAGUUACCAAAGCCAUUUGUUUUAGUAGGGGAUUUUAAUGCUCAUUUUACUCUUUGGGGUAGUGACAAAGCUGAUCAAAGAGGGCAGGUCGUUGAAGAUUUUGUCUUGUCAAACGAUAUCUGCCUUUAAAACACAGGUGCUUUGACCUACUUUUCAGCAACCUCACGCACUUUUAGUUGUUUAGAUCUUGCUUUGUGCUCACCAUGUCUUUUUAACGAUCUUAAAUGGGAGGUCCUCGACACGUCAUAUGGUAGUGAUCACCAACCUGCCAUCAUCAAACUCAUGUCAUCCCACCAAACUUUAUCUAGCAAGCCACGCUGGUGGAAAUUGAAGCUCGCGAACUGGCCGCUUUUUACAGAAAAUGCAAAGCUUGAAGAAGUUUUCUCAUCGGAACUUUCUGUUCAGGAAGUUAACAAAAAGUUCAUCGAAAUUAUGAUUUCAGUGGCAGAAAAGGCGAUACCGCAGUCAUCCGGCAUUGUGCGCAUUAAACUAAAUCCUUGGUGGACAAGCGAGUGCACAGAGGCAAAAGACCAACAAAAUAAGUCCUGGGGAAUGCUAUGAAGAUACCCCACCUACACCAACAUCAUAAGCUUCAAACAGGCAAAAGCCAAAGCACGAUUUAUUCAUAGGCAGGCGGAAAAGGAUUCGUGGCAAAAAUAUAUAUCAUCAUUUAAUAGUUCGGUCACACCAAAAUGUAUCUGGGACCAGAUGAGGAAGUUUAGAGGAGAAGACUCAUCGUACAUAAUGCCACUUCUUACAAGUCCAGACACAAACAGCACUACAAGACCAGGCCAACCUAUUAGGCGAACACUUUUACGAGGUAUCAUCUUCAGGGAAUUACACGAACGCUUUCCUCAAAUACAAAGAAUCGUCUGAAAGACACAGACUGCCGACACAGACUGGGGGCGUGAAACUGGUGCGGAUAUGACUGCACCGCUUACGCUUACGCUGUUCUUUCUGCAGGUACUACUCCGAUCAACCACAAGCAAACCAGUUUUCGAACUACAGCCUGAUGACUUAUCAGCUCAGUUUUUGCCGGAUGGUGAACCUUUGUUCAACUGCUCGACAUGGGAAUCAAGCGACAUUGACCAAAACGAUGGAAAUCAACGAGUGUGCCUCGCAGCUGAAAUUGGCCGCUGCCGGUCAACCAACCGUGGACUGAUCGCACAGACGACUGCAGCCUACAAAUAGCACGGAUCUUCACUCGGAGCUUGGGGCAUGGAACCGGUGCAGAUAUGACUGCACCGCUUACGCUUACGCUGUUCUUUCUGCAGGCUGACCACCAAAACAGUGUGAAUCUGGGUCCUUAGGAGCUUGAAUGCCACCAGGUACCAAUGCUCUGCUCGUUGUGGACAAGUACUGCGACGAAGACAGCACCUGCCUUUGUGCAAUACUUCUGAAUGCUUCUUCAUUGUGACUAAUGCAAAACUGUUGUGCAAUUUAACCUUUGUUUACUUCACUCAAAUAAUAAAUUAACAAAUAACAAUUACAAGAGCAAGCCUGGAAGUAUUGAGACUUCAUAUUACUACUUUGACUAAAAAAUAAUGAAAAUAUAGUUUUUUAAUGCAGGAAGUUCUUGCUUUUGUUUAUUCCAAAACAAGCCAACUGCAUCUCUUAAAGGAGUGUUGACACCUAAAAUCGGACUGUAACUUGACAUGAAAAGGACUCCAGCAUAAGUUUUCAGUGCUUGCAAGGAAUGCCAUAAGGAAUCUUAACCAUUUGACACACUAUGUACACAAUUAUGUACACCACUUGAUUUUGCUAUUUGUAUCAA